CACGCCGUAAACGAUGAGUGCUAGGUGUUAGGGGGGUUUCCGCCCUUUAGUGCUGAAGUUAACGCAUUAAGCACUCCGCCUGGGGAGUACGGCCGCAAGGCUGAAACUCAAAAGAAUUGACGGGGGCCCGCACAAGCGGUGGAGCAUGUGGUUUAAUUCGACGCAACGCGAAGAACCUUACCAGGUCUUGACAUCCUCUGCAAUCGGUAGAGAUACCGAGUUCCCUUCGGGGACAGAGUGACAGGUGGUGCAUGGUUGUCGUCAGCUCGUGUCGUGAGAUGUUGGGUUAAGUCCCGCAACGAGCGCAACCCUUGAUCUUAGUUGCCAGCAUUUAGUUGGGCACUCUAAGGUGACUGCCGGUGACAAACCGGAGGAAGGUGGGGAUGACGUCAAAUCAUCAUGCCCCUUAUGACCUGGGCUACACACGUGCUACAAUGGAUGGAACAAAGGGAAGCAAAACCGCGAGGUCAAGCAAAUCCCAUAAAACCAUUCUCAGUUCGGAUUGCAGGCUGCAACUCGCCUGCAUGAAGCCGGAAUCGCUAGUAAUCGCGAUCAGCUGCCGCGGAAUGGCC
rnacentral:rRNA from 1 species